ACGGGAGGCAGCAGUGAGGAAUAUUGGUCAAUGGACGGAAGUCUGAACCAGCCAUGUCGCGUGAAGGAGGAAGGUGCUAUGCAUUGUAAACUUCUUUUGCAGGGGGGUAAAGUGAGCCACGUGUGGUUUAUUGCAAGUACCCUGCGAGUAAGCAUCGGCUAACUCCGUGCCAGCAGCCGCGGUAAUACGGAGGAUGCGAGCGUUAUCCGGAUUUAUUGGGUUUAAAGGGUGCGUAGGCGGGAGAUCAAGUCAGCGGUGAAAUUCUGUGGCUCAACCAUAGGGCUGCCGUUGAAACUGGUUUUCUUGAGUGCGGCAGAGGUAGGCGGAAUGUGUGGUGUAGCGGUGAAAUGCUUAGAUAUCACACAGAACACCGAUUGCGAAGGCAGCUUACUGGAGCGCAACUAACGCUGAGGCACGAAAGCGUGGGGAUCGAACAGGAUUAGAUACCCUGGUA
rnacentral:rRNA from 1 species